UCGAGAAUCUUCGGCAAUGGGCGCAAGCCUGACCGAGCGACGCCGCGUGUGGGAUGAAGGCCCUUGGGUUGUAAACCACUGUCAGAGGGGAUGAAAUGCGGGUGGGUUCUCCCAUCCGUUUGACAUAGCCUCAGAGGAAGCACGGGCUAAGUUCGUGCCAGCAGCCGCGGUAAUACGAACUGUGCAAACGUUAUUCGGAAUCACUGGGCUUAAAGGGUGCGUAGGCGGCCAUGUAAGUAGGGUGUGAAAG
rnacentral:rRNA from 1 species